AACAAAGAAUAAAAGGUCGAGCCUGCCCGGUGACUAUAUGUUUAACGGCCGCGGUAUUUUAACCGUGCAAAGGUAGCGCAAUCACUUGUCUUUUAAAUGAAGACCUGUAUGAAUGGUAUUACGAAGGCUUAACUGUCUCCUUUUUCAAGUCAGUGAAAUUGAUCUCCCCGUGCAGAAGCGGGGAUAAAACCAUAAGACGAGAAGACCCUAUGGAGCUUUAAGACACUAAGGCAAAUCAAGUUAAACACCCCUAAACAAAGGACCAAACCUAUUGAACCCUUGCCCGUAUGUCUUCGGUUGGGGCGACCAUGGGGAAACAAAAAACCCCCACGUGGAACGGGAGCACAACUACUCCUACAGCUAAGAGCUGCCGCUCUAAUAAGCAGAAUUUCUGACCAACAACUGAUCCGGCAACGCCGAUCAACGGACCAAGUUACCCUAGGGAUAACAGCGCAAUCCCCUUUUAGAGCCCCUAUCGACAAGGGGGUUUACGACCUCGAUGUUGGAUCAGGACAUCCCAAUGGUGCAGCCGCUAUUGAAGGUUCGUUUGUUCAACGAUUAAAGUCCUACGUGAUCUGAGUUCAGACCGG
rnacentral:rRNA from 1 species